CAUUCUCUCUCUCUCUCUCUCUCUCUCUCUCUCUCUCUCUCUCUCUCUCUCUCUCUCUCUCUCUCUCAUAAUACCUUGUGGAGGUAAGCUGGGUUGAGUGAGUAUUCCGUGUUUGUCUUCAGAUGUCUUCUUUUUCUCUCAUUGUGAUUAUGUGGGACAGACAAUACAUAUAGAAUCUGAAGUUUGAAAUACGGUGUUCAGUUGUAUUUUUGUACAAUCAGUGAUAAAAAAGAAUUAUUAAUUAGUAUCUACUUGUUCAGCUUAGAUGUUCAGUCCCUUACGAGCAAUUUCCAGUGUCGUUUCGGUGCUUCGAUCCUGAGAAAUACAGUAAUACCAAGUUCUCUCUCUCUCUCUCUCUCUCUCUCUGGACACGGUGCUGAGUGGACGCUUCCUCCUACCUGCCCUCUCACUUCCCCUCUCAGAUAUGUACAGGUCAGCCGCUCGAGUUACCCUUCUCCAUCUGUUUCCAUCCAAUUCCCCCUUCGGUUUUGGAGGACCUGGCGUUGAGUAUAGAUGACGACGAUCACCAGCCCAGCUU